AUUGAACGCUGGCGGCAUGCCUUACACAUGCAAGUCGAACGGCAGCACGGGAGCAAUCCUGGUGGCGAGUGGCGAACGGGUGAGUAAUACAUCGGAACGUGCCCAGUAGUGGGGGAUAACCCGGCGAAAGCCGGACUAAUACCGCAUACGACCUACGGGUGAAAGCAGGGGAUCGCAAGACCUUGCGCUAUCGGAGCGGCCGAUGUCAGAUCAGCUAGUUGGUGGGGAAAGGCCCACCAAGGCAACGAUCUGUAGCUGGUCUGAGAGGACGACCAGCCACACUGGGACUGAGACACGGCCCAGACUCCUACGGGAGC
rnacentral:rRNA from 1 species